rnacentral:rRNA from 1 species
GACGAACGCUGGCGGCGUGCUUAACACAUGCAAGUCGAACGGAAAGGCCCUGCUUUUGUGGGGUGCUCGAGUGGCGAACGGGUGAGUAACACGUGAGUAACCUGCCCUUGACUUUGGGAUAACUUCAGGAAACUGGGGCUAAUACCGGAUAGGAGCUCCUGCUGCAUGGUGGGGGUUGGAAAGUUUCGGCGGUUGGGGAUGGACUCGCGGCUUAUCAGCUUGUUGGUGGGGUAGUGGCUUACCAAGGGUUUGACGGGUAGCCGGCCUGAGCGGGUGACCGGCCACAUUGGGACUGAGAUACGGACCAGACUCCUACGGGAGGCAGCAGUGGGGAAUAUUGCACAAUGGGCGGAAGCCUGAUGCAGCAACGCCGCGUGCGGGAUGACGGCCUUCGGGUUGUAAACCGCUUUCGCCUGUGACGAAGCGUGAGUGACGGUAAUGGGUAAAGAAGCACCGGCUAACUACGUG